UAAGGGAGCUAUGCUAGGAGUGCUCCACCUGUUCCCAUCUCGAACACAGAAGUGAAAUCUCCUAAGGCCGAUGAUAGUACAAUUGUGCGAAAGUAGGUAGCUCUCUUAU
rnacentral:rRNA from 1 species